UUCAAGGUAUUUGCAUACGAUGUUAACAAAAUUUAAUCGCAAUGAACGGAAUUAUGACGGUGGUGCUAUUGAAUCUGAUGGAGGUUUAUUAAUUUUUUCUCAACCUGGAAAAUUAUUAGGCAGUGUCGACACACCGGGCAUUCUUGAUUCAUUUGAAUUUGAGCAGGCACAUUUUUAUAUUUUGAAGAACUCUGAUGAAAUUCAACCAUUUCUCGAAGAAUUUUCACAAAUUCCAGUUGAUACGUCUAAAAACAAUUCAGAUAUCGAAUAGAAUAGACAAUUCGUUAGUUGGUUAAAAAUAAAGGUUGGGGAAUUGUACAAACACAAUGAUAGUAAGAAAAUAAAAGAUUUGCAUUCAUUGUCACGUGGUCCUAUGCCAUAUGUGACAAGUUUCAAAGGAUACAUUACUAAUGGAUAUAGGUUUCACGUGAAAGACCAUGAUACUGGUUUGAGAACUCAAAAUUGCGGGGUGGUUAUAGUUGGUGAGACUGAUGAAGAGAAUAAAAAUAUUGUUUACUACGGAGAGUUAACUGAGAUUCUUGAAUUACAAUUUACAGGGGGAAGAAGAGUGGUGUUGUUUCGAUGUUUGUGGUUUUAUAUGUAUGACCAAGAAAGGGGAAUUAAAGUAGAUAAAUAUGGCUUCGUAAGUGUUAACCGCCAGCGGUUUUUGAAAAUAAAUGAGCCUUUUGUAUUAGCCAACCAAGCAUCACAGGUAUUCUAUGCUAACGAUCUUUCGAAUAAAGGCUGGCAUGUUGUACAAAAGGUUCAACCUCAUGAUUCUUUUGAUGUUGGGAAAAAAGAGGAAGAUGAUUUAGAGGAGCUAUCAGGAAUCUAGGAAGCAGUUUGGUGUGGAAUAGCUGGCUGAAGUAAUUACGAAGAGGGUUGUUAAUAUCUCACAAAGAAUUCAAUGGGAUCGAUGGAAUUUAUUGAUUUUACAAGUUUCAAUUUAUGAUUUGCAGUAAAGGAUAUUCUAUUUGGUCACUCUGUACUCAUGUUUGUUUUCUGAGUUCCCAUUUUUUUUACUAUGGUGUUAAGUUGGAUCCUAAAAACACUGAUGUUUUGAUUUCUAUUUUCAAGUACUUCCUUCACGGUUCUCUGAUUGGUUUCUAUUACUGAAGUGCGCUAUGAUCAUUUCCUAUAAUGAUUUUUGCCUAGGAUAUAUUUAUUUGUUUGUUUGAUUAAACAUAUGAUGUAUGCUAAUUUAAAAAAUAACAGUAAGAUAUCGUUGGCAGU